GAAAUAAAUAAAAAUAAUAAUAAUAUUUUAAAUCUCUCCUAUUAAAAUAAAUUAUUUCUAUGUAAAACGACCAAUUUGUAUAAUUUUUUUUCUUUAUUUAAUUUUUUAUAUUCAGUCGCGUUUUAUAUUUUGACUAUGAUGCUAAAUUUGACCUGAUGAUGAAUUUUUAAUUCGAAACCGGCCGUAUAAUACACUUAUCACAAUACUCCAGGCAACGAAAUCGAUUAAUUUAUUUAUUUUAUUUUAAUAUAUACAUUUUGGGUUCACUAUAUUUUUUUACUUUAUUUAUUUACGAGUAUUAACCAUUUUAAUAAUUUUGUUUUUACAUUAUUAUUUUAUUAAUUAAUAUAAAUUUGUAUGCAC